ensembl:rRNA 5S_rRNA 5S ribosomal RNA
GCUUAUGGCCAUACCAGCCCAAGAACGCCCGGUCUCGUCUGAUCUCGGAAGCUAAGAAGGCUUGGGCCUGGUUAGUACUUGGAUGGAAGACCUCCUGGGAAUACCAGGUGCUGUAAGCU